AUGGCGUUUUUGCAAAUGAAGAGGAUGGUGGCCGGAAUUUUGAAAAGAUUUCGGGUGGUUCCGGCGGCAGCCGAGGAGGGGGUGGAGCCGAGAUUUGUUCAGUACAUGACGGCGAAGAUGGAGGGCGGGUUUCCGGUGAGGAUUGAGGUACGGGAGGGAUCAGAAUAGAGUAGCAAUGCUUUGAUGACCGAUGUGUAGUUCCAUUUAAG
rnacentral:misc_RNA from 1 species